UAAGGCGGCGAACGGGUGAGUAACACGUUGGAACCUACCUCUAACUCAGGGAUAGCCCACCGAAAGGUGGAUUAAUACCGGAUAGUCCCUUCGGGGUAAAGAUUUAUCGGUUAGAGAUGGUCCUGCGCACUAUCAGCUUGUUGGUAAGGUAAUGGCUUACCAAGGCUAUGACGGUUAGCUGGUCUGAGAGGAUGACCAGUCACAAUGGGACUGAGACACGGCCCAUACUCC
rnacentral:rRNA from 1 species